UGCGGAAGGAUCAUUACUGAUUUGCUUAAUUGCACCACAUGUGUUUUUCUUUGAAACAAACUUGCUUUGGCGGUGGGCCCAGCCUGCCGCCAGAGGUCUAAACUUACAACCAAUUUUUUAUCAACUUGUCACACCAGAUUAUUACUAAUAGUCAAAACUUUCAACAACGGAUCUCUUGGUUCUCGCAUCGAUGAAGAACGCAGCGAAAUGCGAUACGUAAUAUGAAUUGCAGAUAUUCGUGAAUCAUCGAAUCUUUGAACGCACAUUGCGCCCUCUGGUAUUCCGGAGGGCAUGCCUGUUUGAGCGUCGUUUCUCCCUCAAACCGCUGGGUUUGGUGUUGAGCAAUACGACUUGGGUUUGCUUGAAAGACGGUAGUGGUAAGGCGGGAUCGCUUUGACAAUGGCUUAGGUCUAACCAAAAACAUUGUUUGCGGCGGUAACGUCCACCACGUAUAUCUUCAAACUUUGACCUCAAAUCAGGUAG
rnacentral:misc_RNA from 1 species